UACAUAGCUUAAUGAGGGGAACUCAGGGAACUGAAACAUCUAAGUACCUGAAGGAAGAGAAAGAAAUUCGAUUCCGUAAGUAGCGGCGAGCGAACGCGGAUUAGCCCAAACCAAUAAAGUUUUCUUUGUUGGGGUUGCGGACAUAUCAUAACGAAGAGGUAUCGUAAUUGAAGAGGUUUGGAAAGACCCACCACAGAAGGUAAUAGUCCUGUAUGUUAAACGAGAAGACUUUAGAUAUGAUCCAGAGUACCACGGGACACGUGAAACCCUGUGGGAAGCAGGAGGGACCACCCUCCAAGGCUAAAUACUACCUAGUGACCGAUAGCGUAUAGUACCGUGAGGGAAAGGUGAAAAGAACCCCGGGAGGGGAGUGAAAUAGAACCUGAAACCCUGCACUUACAAGCUGUGGAAGCACAUUUCUUGUGUGACCGCGUACUUUUUGUAGAACGGGCCAACGAGUUACGUUAAGUAGCAAGGUUAAGCACUUAAGGUGUGGAGCCGUAGCGAAAGCGAGUUUUAACUGAGCGUUCAGUUACUUGACGUAGACCCGAAACCGGGCGACCUACCCAUGAGCAGGAUGAAGCGAAAGUAAAAUUUCGUGGAGGUCCGAACCCACGAGCGUUGAAAAGCUCGGGGAUGACUUGUGGGUAGCGGUGAAAUUCCAAUCGAGCCCGGAGAUAGCUGGUUCUCCCCGAAAUAGCUUUAGGGCUAGCCUCAAGGUGAGAGAUACGGAGGUAGAGCACUGAAUGUCCUAGGGGGUAUUGCACCUACCGAAGACUAUCAAACUCCGAAUGCCGUCAUCUUAUACUUGGGAGUCAGACUGUGGGUGAUAAGAUUCAUAGUCGAAAGGGCAACAGCCCAGAUCGUCAGCUAAGGUCCCUAAAUGUAAGUUAAGUGGUAAAGGAUGUGGGAUUGCACAGACAACCAGGAUGUUGGCUUAGAAGCAGCCACUCAUUCAAAGAGUGCGUAAUAGCUCACUGGUCGAGUGAUCCUGCGCCGAAGAUUUCCGGGGCUAAAACUUACUACCGAAGCUACGGCAUCAGUAAUGAUGGGUAGGGGAGCUUCCCAUACGGGUUGAAGCAUGACCGUAAGGACAUG
rnacentral:rRNA from 1 species